GUCGUCUUACAAUGGGCAGAGUGGUAGAUAUAACAGAGUGGCGACACUUCCAUUGGACUCCGUUGUAGCGCCUACUUCCGGGGUAUGGAGCCUCGAAUAGUUCCAAACAACCAUUUUACGGCGUAGGAGACCGUUCAUUUCCAUUGCUGGCCGCCGAGUAACUUCUGAGAAAUUAGUCUGACUGCUGAUCCUGUUGGUGGAUGCUGUUGGUGGCUGCUGGUGGUGGCGGCUGACGACGUUUGCUGAUGGUGGUGGCUGAUGUUAUGACCUCAGCUCAUGGCAUGAGGGAAGGUUGCUGUCCAGACCCAUGGCCUCUCUUUCCAGCUGUGCCACUACAUUGGAGGACUGCAUGAGGGAAUCACUCGUCUGAGAACGGAACAGCUGCUCCACGUUCUGCAGGAGAGUGAACACCUCAUCGGAUGGACGGUGGUAGAGGACACAGGACUCGGUCUUUGUCAUGUCAGGUGGUGAUGGGUCUACCAGCUGCUCCACUCUCACAACCUCAGAAGCACUGCAGCUGCUUUUCUGGGUGUCCAGGAAGUCCGCCAAGUGGUCUGAUGCAUCAUCCAGAUCUUGCUGGACCUCCAGAAUUGUUGUUGUGGCCAUCACCAGUCCAGUCUGGACUGGUUUCCAGCUGCCCUGGGGACCGAUCUUCAGGCCCCGAAAAAGAUGGAUCGAGUCGCGGAGGAAGCUGAUGGCCUUUUCAUACUCUUCCAUCUUGAAAUGACUGAGGGCACAAACAACAUUGCGGGAUGACAUGAGGUCAAACCAGUGGUCCAUCUUCUCCAAAAACCAUGACGUUUUAAGGCUCCAGGACACCUCUGGACAGAUUGGGUGCAAGCUUAAGUGCCAUGCCCUCCUGGAAGGACACCAGAUCCUUUAAGGGGGCAACAGAGACUUCACUCGAUGCCAGCUGCUCCUUUUCCACCACAUCCUGUGGUAUGGUGAUGAUGUGACCACGGACAAUGGCACUCUUCAAGUUCUUGACGAGAUAAGGAACGUCAGGCAUGAAAUGGAGGCGCUGGCUUGGCUCAACAGGAUGCUGGAUCCAUGGCUUGUCAUAGGUCACCCCAAAGGACUUCCACAUUGCUCUAUUGGGGCUCCCCAUGUCUGUGGUGAUGUUCAGUACAUGAAGCCCUACAGAUGCCGCUGCUUCAACAAUGUUGAUUAUGAUGGGCCGGUAAACUGCUCCAUUGGUGGAAUUGCCACUAUAGUGGUAAGCCACAACUUGUUUCCACCGUGUUGUAGCUCCAGCCAGCAUAAACACCAGUGCAUGUGUCGCUUGUCCUUUGUGCUCAGGCAGUGUGACAUUGCCAAAUAGCCUCCCCGUUCCCAAAUGGAGCUCCACGCCUGGAGUAAUGGACAUCUCAUCUAAGCGUCCGGAUGUUGGGCAGCGGAAUAUGCAUUCGCUGGAGGGUUUUGUAACCAGUGGUGCCAGCAGUAAAUUUAACCUUUGCCUUAUUAGGUCCUCCACAGUCGCCCCAUCAGUCCCUGGCGGUCUGGUCCCUGGCGGUCUGGUCCCUGGCGGUCUGGUCCCUGGAGCAGCUGGCCCUGGAGCAGAUGGUCCUGGCAAAGUUAUAACUUCACUGUUGACCCCUGACUGACUGGCCCUCGGCACACACAUCCCUGGAUCACCUGCCCCUGGAUCACCUGCCACUGAAUCACCUGCCACUGGCAAUGUGGCCUCUUGAUUUCUCUCUCUGUCUCCUGGCAUGUCCCUUUCGAUGCUCUUAAAAUCCACCUCAAUUUCUCCCUCAAUCUCUGUAAAAAUUACAAGGUAAUGUUGCUGUUAUAUGUAUUUUGCCUUUGCAUUUGCAACUACUGUCAUCUCCAAUGUAGGAAAUGAAUUGAAGCGAAACAUUUCUGUAAUGUGAAUUAAAUCAUCUGCCACAAUCAGAA
ensembl:lncRNA